AUUGAACGCUGGCGGCAGGCCUAACACAUGCAAGUCGAGCGGUAGAGAGGUGCUUGCAUCUCUUGAGAGCGGCGGACGGGUGAGUAAUGCCUAGGAAUCUGCCCUAGUGGUGGGGGAUAACGUUCGGAAACGGACGCUAAUACCGCAUACGUCCUACGGGAGAAAGCGGGGGAUCUUCGGACCUCGCGCCAUUAGAUGAGCCUAGGUCGGAUUAGCUAGUUGGUGAGGUAAUGGCUCACCAAGGCGACGAUCCGUAACUGGUCUGAGAGGAUGAUCAGUCACACUGGAACUGAGACACGGUCCAGACUCCUACGGGAGGCAGCAGUGGGGAAUAUUGGACAAUGGGCGAAGCCUGAUCCAGCCAUGCCGCGUGUGUGAAGAAGGUCUUCGGAUUGUAAAGCACUUUAAGUUGGGAGGAAGGGUAGUAACCUAAUACGUUGCUACUUUGACGUUACCGACAGAAUAAGCACCGGCUAACUUCGUGCCAG
rnacentral:rRNA from 1 species